CGUGCAAUAGUAAAAAAAAAGUCCUAUGUAUAUAAAUGAUUUGGGCGAUGGCUAGAAAAUAACACAUAUUCAAUGACACUCACUGGCCUAGGACACAUUGAACAGUAAAAUCAAGAUGUUUCGAUUCGUCGUUUUGUUGGUUGUCAUUACUGGGGCGUCAGCUUUGAAGAAUUAUUGGUAUGCUCUAUAUGGAUGUCAUCCACCCAGUUCACUAAGAGCUCGAGCUGAGUUAACAGGAUUUGACAAUGACAGAGAUUUUAAUGGUGUAGUGACAAAUGAAGACAUCGACAUAGAUGUUAUUGCCUAUGAUUAUAACGGGGAUGCGACUCGUACAUAUGAAUGGGAAACUGUUUUUCACUGGAGAUGUCGAUAUGGGUGGAAUGAAGAUUUUGGUCAAUAUUUCCACAAUCUCCUCGAUGGGAACAAAGAUGGUGUCUGGACAGCAGUGGAUUUUGGAGGCUCAUUUUAUAUGACUGGUGAGGCUUUCAGGAAAAGACAAAUUGAUCGAUUCAGAAAAUAUUGUGAAGAUAGGAACAACAAACCCCAAGAUUGUUGGAAAUUAAAAUCCGAACCAAACCUAGACAAUUUCGGA